GUACGCUGGCGGCACGCCUAACACAUGCAAGUCGAACGCAGUAGCAAUACUGAGUGGCAAACGGGUGAGUAUAAUGUGGGAAUCUGCCUUUUGGUUUGGAAUAACACGGGGAAACUUGUGCUAAUACCGAAUAAGCCCUUACGGGGAAAGUUUUAACGCCGAAAGAUGAGCCCGCACUUGAUUAGCUAGUUGGUAAGGUAAAAGCUUACCAAGGCAACGAUCAAUAGCUGUUCUUAGAGGAAGACCAGCCACAUUGGGACUGAGACACGGCCCAGACUCCUACGGGAGGCAGCAGUGGGGAAUCUUGCACAAUGGGGGAAACCCUGAUGCAGCGAUGCCGCGUGAGUGAAGAAGGCCUUUGGGUUGUAAAACUCUUUCGUCGGGGAAGAAAAUGACUGUACCCGAAUAAGAAGGUCCGGCUAACU
rnacentral:rRNA from 1 species